UACGUAGGCGACAAGCGUUGUCCGGAUUUAUUGGGCGUAAAGCGCGUGUAGGCGGCCAGGUAGGUCGGUUGUGAAAAUUGGAGGCUCAACCUCCAGACGUCGAUCGAAACCAUCUGGCUAGAGUCCGGAAGAGGAGAAUGGAAUUCCUGGUGUAGCGGUGAAAUGCGCAGAUAUCAGGAAGAACACCGAUGGCGAAGGCAAUCCCCUGGGCCUGCACUGACGCUCAUGCACGAAAGCGUGGGGAGCAAACAGG
rnacentral:rRNA from 1 species